AGGUAAUGAUUUUCCCAGAAGGGACGUGUACAAACCGAUCGUGUUUGAUCACAUUUAAACAAGGAGCUUUUAUUCCUGGGGUUUCUGUUCAGCCCGUGAUUAUUCGCUACCCCAACAAGUUGGAUACUGUGACAUGGACCUGGCAGGGAAACAGCUUGUAAGUCAAAUCCUCGGAAGAGAAAUGCACUUUCUAAAAACUUAUUUGUGUUAGGCAGUGUCUGUUAGGCACAACGGUUUUGAGCAUUGUUGCAUUUUAAGAAUUGUUACACAGAUCAAAGGAUUUGUGGUGGCAACUGGUAAUAAAUGAUAAUG